rnacentral:rRNA from 1 species
GGUGAACGCUGGCGGCGUGCCUAACACAUGCAAGUCGAGCGGUGCAGUUUGAAGCUUCGGUGGAAAGCUGCAUAGCGGCGGACGGGUGAGGAAAACGUAGGAACGUGCCCCUUGGAGUUGGGAUAGCCACGGGAAACUGUGGGUAAACCGACAUAGACUCGAGAGAGUAAAGGCCGAAAGGCGCCAAGGGAGCGGCCUGCGGCCCAUCAGGUAGUUGGUAGUGUAAAGGACUACCAAGCCGACGACGGGUAGCCGGUCUGAGAGGAUGGCCGGCCACAAGGGCACUGAGAGACGGGCCCUACUCCUACGGGAGGCAGCAGUGGGGAUUUUGGACAAUGGGCGAAAGGCCUGAUCCAGCGACGCCGCGUGAGUGAAGAAGUGCUUCGGCAUGUAAAGCUCUAUCAGCAGGGAAGAAGAUGACGGUACCUGACUAAGAAGCCCCGGUAACACGUGCCAGCAGCCGCGGUAAGAGUCACGUCG